UCGGAAUUUAAUUGUGAUGUUGUUAAGACCGCGUUUAUCAAUGCAGGGUCUUAAGCCGCCAUAUUUCUUCUUGACAAAAAAGAAUUCAGCUGAUGCAGGAGAUGUAGAGGGUCUGAUGAAGCCUUUUACCAGUUCUUAUGCAAUGUAAGCCUUCAUAGCUUCUGACUCAGGUUGUGAGAGAGGGAAUAUUCUGCCUCUAGGGGGAGUUGCACCUGGUAGCAGAUUGAUAGUACAGUCACUGGGGCGAUGAGGUGGCAGUUGGGCUGCUUUGGUCUUACUGAAUGCCUCGGUUAGAUCAGUGUAUUCGAUGGGUAAACCUUGAAUUACAGGGGUUUGUUCACUGAUGGUCACAGCAUGCUAUGGUAAGGGGUUAACGUGAGUCAGACAAAGAUCAUGGCAGGCUGGGUCCCACUGGACGAUUUGUUCCUCCUUCCAGGAGAUCUGAGGAUUGUGUCGGCGCAACCAAGAAAUCAUCAAAGGAGCUGGAUCACAGAGAUGGAGAAUGUGGACAUGAUGGCAGACAACACUAAAAUUAAUAUAUCAAAAAAGCCCAGACAGAGCAUGGACUAUCCUCAUAACUUCAAUGCGGAGAACCCAUUAGUGCAAAGAGGAGCCAGUUUCUCAGAUGAUUCUACAAGAUAUGAAUGUGUCAAUUUCACAGAGAAUAUAAAUGGAAACGAAAGACAGGACAAAUUCCGUAUAGCAUGGGAUAAGGAAACUUCUGAUGAUAUGUCACCUGGACGGGACAACUCUUUCAGCUCUAUCCGUUCAUUUGACUCAGGAUAUGCUUCAAGAACAAACACAGUCAAUUCAAUUAUCUACAUGUCUGAAGAUGAACAAACAAAAUUAUGUCAACUUCAAAUAAGACCAGCAGCACAGACAGAAUCAACCCCUAAAAUUUGAUGGUCACUCGAGGUGCCAGCCAAGAAAAGGAAAUUAUGACCGGACAUGAAUUGGUUUGUGAUUCAGUCAGAAUCAUUCGGACAGAUCACUCACACACU